rnacentral:rRNA from 1 species
UACAGAGGUCCCAAGCGUUGUUCGGAUUCACUGGGCGUAAAGGGUGCGUAGGUGGUCAGGUAAGUCUGAUGUGAAAUCUCUGGGCUCAACCCAGAAACUGCAUUGGAUACUAUCUGGCUAGAGGAGUGGAGGGGGGACUGGAAUACUUGGUGUAGCAGUGAAAUGCGUAGAUAUCAAGUGGAGCACCAGUGGCGAAGGCGAGUCCCUGGACACUUCCUGACACUGAGGCACGAAAGCUAGGGGAGCAAACAGG